rnacentral:snRNA from 1 species
AAUCCGGGCUAGAAGCGA